UGCGCCGUGUUGGGCUGCAUCAGUCGUGCCAUGUUACGGAACCCAACGCAAUGUGACUGAUGCAGGCUGACACGACGUGU
rnacentral:pre_miRNA from 1 species